CCCCUGGCCGGGGGCUAUUCAACCUCCAACCCCCCAAACCCAACCACCCUCCUCUUCUCCAGAGCGAGUCCUCUUCGUUCCUCCGCCGCUCCAUCCAAACGAAGCCGCGAAAGAGAGAGAGAGAGAGUGAGAUUUCUAGCUAGGGUUAGGGUUUCUCGACACCAGAAAGUGAUAAGAGAGAAAGAGAGAGGGGGAGGGAGGGAGGAAGGUGAAUCCGGUUAGAUUUCUAUCUCUUGCUACUCUCGAUCCUUUUUCGGGUAGAAAAUUGUCUUAAAUUUGUAGAAAUUGGUCUGUUUCUAUUCAAGUUGGUCUUCUGGUCUGCGAAACAUCGAGUUGGAGGAUUCACGGUCGGAAAGUUCAGAUUUUUGUUUGUCGUUGAGAUCAGAUUUCGAUCAAAAGUUGGAUUUCGGUUGCUGUUUUGUGGAUCUUGGAUGGAAAUGAGAGAUAUUUCAGUUCUUGAACGUGGUCUUGAUGACAGGUUGAAAGAAAUAUGAUAUUUGAGGUGGAGGACUGGAAUGGUUCUUUGGACGGGGAGGUUCUUUGAUUUCUUGGAGAUGGCGACUCAUAGUCUUACUCGGAGCGCGUCGGCUCGUAUCACGCCUAGGAGUCUGAGCAGCCCUAGGGUUUCAUUUCAUCGGAAAUGGUGGGCUCCCGGCCUGUCCUUGAAUGCCCUUGCUGUGACCUUCCUUCUGGCGUCCCUUGUGCUAGUUCUGGGAUGUGUUAUUUAUCUUUAUGUCUUUCGGUUCUUAGGCCGUGGAUUUUUAGUCUCAGGAUUUGUUGGCCCGACAGAAGGCUGCGAUGUCUUCGAUGGUAGCUGGGUCCAGGAUGAUACAUACCCACUCUACAAUAGCUCGGAGUGUCCAUUUGCUGAGAGGGGGUUCAAUUGCUUGGCAAAUGGGAGAAAAGAUACGGAUUAUCUGAAGUGGAGGUGGAAGCCUAGGCAUUGUGAGAUGCCUAAGAUUAAUGUGCGCGAGGUUUUGGAAAGUCUAAGAGGGAAACGGGUUGUCUUUGUGGGUGACUCAAUGAGUCGCACGCAGUGGGAGUCUCUCAUAUGUAUGCUCAUGACCGGGGUGGAGGAUCCCAAGACUGUUUAUGAAGUCAAUGGAAACCAGAUCUCGAAGACGAUUCGUUUCUUGGGUGUUCGGUUCGAAACUUUCAAUCUAAGUGUGGAGUUCUUCCGAUCGGUGUUCCUCGUGCAGCAGGGAUCACCACCUAAGCAUGGGCCGAAAAGGGUUCGUAUGACACUGAAGCUUGACAAGAUGGAUGACGUAAAUUGGAAAUGGGUUGAUUCAGAUGUUCUGAUUUUCAAUUCUGGUCAUUGGUGGACGCCAAGUAAACUCUUUGACAUGGGUUGUUAUUUCCAAGCUGGAGGACUACUGAAGCUUGGAAUGUCCAUAAAUUCUGCUUUUAAAAUGGCCUUGGAGACCUGGGCAUUAUGGGUUGAAACAAUGGUCAACACAAACAGAACUCAUGUAUUCUUCCGUACUUAUGAGCCUUCUCAUUGGAGAUCUGAGGAGGAUGCAUUUGGCACUACCUUCAGCCCAAAGAAGCAUCUGGACCAACCAUCUGAGUGAUGAGAACCUUAAAACAUGCAACUGGGAGGUUAAAAGAGCUUAUUAGGGAUGGAUCCUACUGCAAGGAGAUUCUGAGGAGCAUAUGACAGCUGUCCCAUACUUUCAACAGUUGCAAUUAGGAGAUUUGAUGAGUCUGUCUGGUUCUCCAGGACAGCAGAUUAGUGGAUCAAACCAAAAGGCCUGUGAAGUAACCCAACAACCUCUGACUGAGGCCAAAGGAAAUGACAGGAGUGAGUUUGCCGAGAUAAUUGCUGAGGUGGUCACGAAGAUGAGGGUUCCUGUAACCGUCCUUAAUGUGACUUCGAUGGGGGCAUUUCGGAGUGAUGCCCAUAUUGGCACUUGGAGCCACCCUUCCACCAUUCUCGAUUGCAGCCAUUGGUGUCUUCCUGGGGUCCCUGAUGCUUGGAAUGAACUUGUGUUCUCUUAUCUUCUGACAAAUGGAUGGAGAAAGUUGGGAAGAUAAUUGGGUCCUGGUGGUCUUUUUUCAUUUAUAAUUUUUUUACUAUUUUUUGUAUUCCACCUGGCAGCUGCAGAGGAUGAACAGGGUUUUGUCUGUAAAUGAAGCAGCGUGCUAGUGGGAAUCCUUCAGUUGCAUUCUUUUUUUUUUCUUCGCGGAUUUCUUUUGUUCCCAAUGAGUUCUUGUAUUAACUCCAAGAUGUAACUUUUUGUAGCUUUUAUAUUUCAUUUUCUCCCAAAUGUAAAAGGAAAUCUUGAUAUCGAUCAAGAUGUAUGUAACAGUGGUAAUGAUGACGGUUUCAUAGAUGUCCACUCCAAUUUUAUUUAUGUAUACAAAUCCUUUUACGAACCAUUAGAUUGUGGUCCUAAAGGAAUGCUUCAA